rnacentral:rRNA from 1 species
UACGUAGGGUCCGAGCGUUGUCCGGAAUUAUUGGGCGUAAAGAGCUCGUAGGCGGUCUGUCGCGUCGGCUGUGAAAACCUGGGGCUCAACUCCAGGCCUGCAGUCGAUACGGGCAGACUAGAGUUCGGUAGGGGAGACUGGAAUUCCUGGUGUAGCGGUGAAAUGCGCAGAUAUCAGGAGGAACACCGGUGGCGAAGGCGGGUCUCUGGGCCGAAACUGACGCUGAGGAGCGAAAGCUAGGGGAGCGAACAGG